rnacentral:rRNA from 1 species
GGAUUAGAUACCCUGGUAGUCCACGCUGUAAACGAUGAAUGCCAGUCGUUGGGUAGUUCACUACUCAGUGACGCAGAUAACUCUUUAAGCAUUCCGCCUGGGGAGUACGGUCGCAAGAUUAAAACUCAAAGGAAUUGACGGGGGCCCGCACAAGCGGUGGAUUAUGUGGUUUAAUUCGAAGCAACGCGCAGAACCUUACCGGCUCUUGACAUGCUACGACGGUUUCCAGAGAUGGAUUCCUUCCCGCAAGGGACGUAGACACAGGUGCUGCAUGGCUGUCGUCAGCUCGUGCCG